rnacentral:tRNA from 2 species
CAAUAGCUCAGUUGGUAGAGCUCCCGCCUUGUAAGCGGAAGGUCACCGGUUCGAGUCCGGUUCG